GCCUGGGUGGCUCAGUCAGUUGAGCAUGUGACUUUGGCUCAGAUCAUGAUCUCACAGUUCGUGGGUUCGAGCCCCUCAUUGGGCU
rnacentral:tRNA from 1 species